UUUGUUCUCACUUAAAAUCUUUAAAAUUUCCAAUGAGCUUGACCCCUUGCUUUCCUAGGCUACAACAACUGGAAGCAGAUUGGGAGUGAGGAGGAAGUGGGCAGAGGAUGUCUGGUGGCCUUGGUGACCAGCAGCUGAGGACCCAUUGAUACCCAGGUGGAGAGGGAGGUGCCGAUUCUCCUGAAUCACGAGAGCAAAGAAAUCACACGUUCUGAGGCCACGAGCUGUCUGCUUUCACCGCGCCUCCCCUCUCAUCAGUGUGGAAGAAAAUCACCAUAUGCGUGAAUGUGACAGCUGAGGCUCAUGAAGACCUGAGUCAGGAGAAACAGGAUAAUACAUAUUUCAAAUGUUCUCUUUCCUAAGCCCAUUCCAUGUGUAAAAUGUUUUAGAAAGAUUUCCAUCCCACAUAAUUAAUUUUUCUUAAGGCCUUGGUUUUUAAAGAGGCUGCAGCAGAGGAUUGAAACAGCUGGUGGAUAGGGCAGCGCUCCAGGAUGUUGGCGUCCACGUGAGUUCCUGAGCUGAAGUCUGCAGAGCACCACCAUGACCCGGAAGGCAUACAGAACUUGGAGUGGAGGGAUCAGGAUUCAGAGCACGUUUCAGCGCUACACCGCAGUAUCUGGCACGUAGAAGGAAUUCAGAAAUACUGAAUGAAGGAGCACCUGUUACGUACCUAGCAUUGAGCAAGGAGCUAGCAAUACAGAAUAGAGAGGCUGCCAUGAAGAACACAUUGAUUUUUAAAUUCAAGAUAAAAAUAAAUGACUUAUGGCCAAGGCAGUUUUCACUUUGAUUUUUUAAACUGCAAAU
rnacentral:lncRNA from 10 species